rnacentral:rRNA from 1 species
ACGGGGAGCAGCAGGCGCGAAACCUUYACACUGCACGCCAGUGCGAUAGGGGACCCCGAGUGCGGGGGCAUACAGUCCUCGCUUUUCGUGACCGUAAGGUGGUCACAGAAUAAGAGCUGGGCAAGACCGGUGCCAGCCGCCGCGGUAAUACCGGCAGCUCGAGUGAUAGCCACUUUUAUUGGGCCUAAAGCGUCCGUAGCCGGCCGAACAGGUCCGUCGGGAAAUCCACCCGCUCAACGGGUGGACGUCCGGCGGAAACCAGUCGGCUUGGGGCCGGGAGACCAGAGAGGUACGUCCGGGGUAGGAGUGAAAUCCUGUAAUCCUGGACGGACCGCCGAUGGGGAAACCACCUCAGGAGGACGGAUCCGACGGUGAGGGACGAAAGCUAGGGUCUCGAACCGGAUUAGAUACCCGGGUAGUCCUAGCUGUAAACGAUGCUCGCUAGGUGUGGCGUUGGCUACGAGCCAGCGCUGUGCCGUAGGGAAGCCGAGAAGCGAGCCGCCUGGGAAGUACGUCCGCAAGGAUGAAACUUAAAGGAAUUGGCGGGGGAGCAC